ensembl:lncRNA
CCGCCCCUCGACUCGGGAGACUGUAAAAGUUUGUCUCAGCUCCAGCAUCCCGAGCCUCAACACGCCCUCAGCCCCUCCAGCUCGAAUAAUGAAGAGACAGUCAAUGCAAUCUGCAAGCGGCGGCCCAUUGUACGCAGCUGAUGGAAAGAAGGCAACCGGGGCCGGCGAGGGCUCCUUGCCCUCUCUCCUCUCCUCAAAUAAACGCGCUCAUGUCUCCUGAUCAGUUAAAAGGUGAAAUGAACACGAUUAAAAGACAAAAAGAGAGACAGAGAUAGAGAGAUAGAGAGAGAGAGGGAGAGAAGAAAAGAAGGAAGAAAAAGAACAAGCUUUCUACAUAUAAAUUCUAAAUUUUAUUCCUCAUGUAGUACAAAGGCAGGCAGUCGAGGGCAGAGAAAGCAGGCAGGGAGAGGGAGACAGGGAGAAGCAAAGAGAACGUGGAGAGAUACGGAGCGAGUGGAAGAGGAAGGAGGAAGGAGAGCAAGCUCCAGGGAACUGGAGGCGCCCUGGACGCCCAGCCCUCCGGCCCAGCCGCCCUCGGACUCUGGACCGCGAGUCGUGGGCACCAGAAGCGAGACUCGGCCAAGUCCUGCCCUACCAGGGAUUGAGAAACGGAAAUUUCACCACCCUCCAGCCAAACUUUCGAGGACUGAUUGCAGAGGAACUGGUGCUCCAGAUGUUGCACUAGAGGCGCUGCAAGUGUGAGCAGAUGGCAGUAGACCUACCUCACAAGUGGGAGCAGAUAUUCUCAAUGUUUCUAUUGAAAUAUCUUUAUUUCCAUUUGCAAGAGGAGCUCUGGAGCCUCAUUCUUGUGGUAGCUACCAAGUUCUGAUAUAAGCUGUUUUCAUCAGGGAACUUUGGCAAGAGAAUGGCUGGAUCAGCAAGUCCAUCUCCAUCAUGGAACAACAACUUGAAGCUCAUCUCUGUUGAUGAGGGAAUUGCUCUGUGUAUAACUGGAUUCAUUGUGCCCAUGAGAGGAGCUAAGUUCAGGAGCCUCCUGUAUUGUCAUUUUGGACUGGAACUCAGAAGCAAGUUUUGAUAGAAAAUCUUAAAGGCUGAACCCACUGGAUGUGGAAAUUCCUAGGCUAGGCGAUGAAUUGGAGCCGCAGCUGCCUGUCUAGGCCACAGUCACAGCAACACUAGAUCCGAGCCACGUCUGCGACCUACACCACAGCUCACAGCAAUGCUGGAUCCUUAACCCACUGAGCAAAGCCAGGGAUAGAACCCACGUCCUCAUGGAUACCAGUCAGAUGUACAGUCUGUAGGAUGGGGGUAGACUGAAUACCUGCUUCACGGAAUACUUGCUUCAAAUCACCUUUCACAUCUUCUUGUUGGAAAGACAAUCAUUGGAGAAUCGUCUUGUUACUGUCAGCAAAACUGAAAAGAAAUCAAGACAUUAAGAAUGCCACAGUGGCCAGCAGUUAAUGAUGCCAGUGUUAUGCAAGCUUCGGCAAAGGAAUUUUUUUCAAGACAGCGUGCCUCACUAGCCAGAAAUCAGGAAAGGUUGAACCUAUCCUUUUUAUCUCAGCUGUUUCUUCAGUCAGUGCAGCCCCUCCUAAUUAAAGUGAAUUGAAACAUGCAUUGCCUUUUCAGCUUAAUUGAGUACUUACUAUGUGUGAAUCACUGCACAGAAUAGGGGAGGGAAAAUGAGGGAGACAAAUAAGAUAUUGUCCCUGCCUUCAUUGGAUUUACAGUUAGUUUAAGGGCUUUUUUUGUCUUCUGCUCUUAAUUAAGUGUAUCCCUAAGACAGGAAAUGAAUGGAAAAGUGUAUUCUGUAAGUAUUUGAAAUCUCCUUAAUAUAAGACGAAAUAAAAACUAAUGUGA